UCAGAGCGCUUUCCAUUGCACAGCAUGUCACUAUGAUGUGAUGUUAAUAAGCGGGACGAUAAAUAAAAGUACCCGCAGGGUUAAUGUAGAAUUAAAAGGGGGAGAAACUUAGAAAUAUCAUUAAAACAGACCCUGAUAAUUUCUAAACACCAUCUCCACAAUCGUGCAUGUGUACCUCGCUGUCUAAAGCUGAAAAAGAUUAGAGCUGCAAACAGAAACAGUUUGAAUCUGCCUGCAUUUUCCCAAAUAAUUACUGUGCAGAAAGCAACCCAAAGCAGCUUUCCCUUCAUUUCCAUCAUCAUUUCCAAUUUCCAGCAUGAUGUGUUUGAUUGAUACACACAGUCAAAGAGGCUUAUAAAGCACAGCAUUUAUGAUGUGAUAAAUGCUGUGCUUUACAAGUAUUUUAUUUUGAGUGUAUUACUUUACUGACCAUGUCUUGUAGAUGGCAUCUACCUUCCCUACACAUGCAUCUAACCUACAUAAAAAUAAUGCCUUAACUGGAUCUAAAAACAUUACAUUUAUCAUAAUAGUAUAUAAUGCAAUUACCUGGGUACAAAAUGGACUGAACACAGGCGUUGCUUGGUAAGAGCAUAGUAACUCUGAGGAUCAUGGUUUUCUGAUCACUGUCCACAGGAUUUACAAAGAGGCAUGUUAUUAUUAUUAUUAGUUUAUUUAGCAGAUACCUUUAUCCAAGGCGACUUACAGAGACUAGGGUGUGUGAACUAUGCAUCAGCAGCAGAGUCACUUACAAUUACAUCUCACCCGAAAGACGGAGCACAAGGAGGUUAAGUGACUUGCUCAGGGUCACACAGUGAGUCAGUGUGGCUGAGGUGGGGUUUGAACCGGGGCCCUCCUGGUUACAAGCCCUUUUCUUUAACCACUGAACCACACAGCCUCCUAGGUUAGGCAAUCAGGAGCUGGGGGAGAUGGCCCAGGAGAUCCAGGAGGAAGAGGAGGACUCGCACCUCUCCGAAGGGCAGCUAGCAGAACAGAGCCUGCUCUCAGAAGAGAGGAGGAGGAGGAAUCGGACAUUCCAGAAGAGGUGUUGGAGCGGGACAUAGAAGAAGGGGAGGAUGUGCUGGCCACUGAUGUCAAUGAAUCAAUACUCUCCAACAGUGAUGACUGCAUUGUUCCAGGCCCAGCACCCCAGAGCAGAAAGCAGUGAUCCACGUAGAUAAAGAAAAUAACCAGCCAAGACGAGAGUUCCUGAGGUCUGUGCUCCAGGGACAAGACCCGGCUCAUGAGAGCAUCAAGUUUACUGUGGUUAGUGGCCCUCCUGAAGACGAGCAGGACAUGGAGUGUGAAGAUGUUGGCUUUGCUUUUGUCAACGUCAGAGACAUCUUUCAGGAUAAGCAGGAUUUCAUAGAGAAAAGCAUCAACAGUAAGUACAGUAUGCUGAGGUUCUGCUAGCGCAUGAUAUAUGCAGUUGUACCGCUAUAGAAGGGCUUUCAUUUUGGAGCUAUCCAUGUGUGAUGCAUUUUACAGUAGUCAUAUAUUGCUUUAGAAAAAGGUCUAAAAAUAUUUCCUUGUGAAAGUCCAUCACGUCAUGAUUAUUAAUUUAAAGGUAUGCUGAGAGUUAUAGUCUUUUUAAUUUGUUUAGCACAGUGUUAUCAAAAAAGAUCCAGCAUUGUUCUAAGCGCAGUUCCAUGUCUGUACAUUAAUGACGUUAAGGACUAGGCCUACAUAAAGAAUUUAAAUAAAGCAAGAGACGGUUUUCAGAUGUAUGUAGGACACAGCAUAACACCGUAAAUAGCAAGGGGUUUUAGUGUUUAAGGGUUUUUUAGAGUUUUUUGUUCUCAUGUCAGGACUCGACCAAUAUGAUGCAUCAAACCAAUAUUACUUUUGUAGGAAUACCAUGGAAAGGGGCGGGGAUAGAAAGUACUGUCGUUGUCGGGUUUCCUUUCUGUUUGCGUAGCUGGGCUGACAAAAACUAGCCAAGGCAUUUAAACAAGGUGGUGAGAAAACAUCAGGAGGAGUAGCUGCAACACAUGGAUGUCUCUCACAAAAUGAACUGAAUUAAAAUGAGAUCAGUUAGAUCGACUAUGUGCUGGACCUUGCCCUGGCACUGCCACCACAGCCAUUGUCCACAUUUCACUCUUCAUCUAUAUUCAUCUCUACAUAGUCUGUUAUCUUCAGUUUAAAUUGUGUCAAAAGUGUGAUUAACUUAUUACAGGUGUGAUUAUGUAUGUCUGAAGAUCUGUUAAUACUCCACAUUAUACAAAGCAUUUCCUUUUAUUGGUAACACCUUAGUUUAAAGACAUGUUUAUAAAUGACCAAUAACACCUAUGUGAAUGUGUUAUAAACAACAAAAGACUGUUCAUGACAUCAUGCUGCAGCCAAACAGAGCUCUAGAGGUGUAACUAAUACAUACUAGGAAAGCUUGUAUGGUGGGGUUUUUUUUUUCUUUUCUAUUGCUGUAGUUGUGAAUGCUCAGGAUGACAAUGCAGUAAUUGAAGGUUACUGUUGUGGCUCUCCAGGCACUACUACGCUCUGUCAUUGAAGACUAGCACUGAUGAUAUGUACGAGAAAUAAACAAGAACAAUAUCGGGGGUGUUUAUGCACAUAACCCCUGCCUUAUUUAAUUUGGAUUUAAGUGAAUUUACAAUUAUAUGUGUGUGUGGUUUUUGGGGUUUUUGUUUUUUUUUAUUGUAAUAUAUGUAUGCGUUUUGUGUUUUUGCUACUUUAUUACAUUUCCAUUUUUUAACCUUAAAAAAAAAAAAAAUGAAACACAAAAGUGGAUAUUUGUCUGAUUUCAGUGAUGCGCUCCG